CCUACGGGAGGCAGCAGUAGGGAAUAUUGCUCAAUGGGGGAAACCCUGAAGCAGCAACGCCGCGUGGAGGAUGAAGGUUUUCGGAUUGUAAACUCCUUUUGUUAGAGAAGAUAAUGACGGUAUCUAACGAAUAAGCACCGGCUAACUCCGUGCCGGCAGCCGCGGUAAUACGGAGGGUGCAAGCGUUACUCGGAAUCACUGGGCGUAAAGAGCGCGUAGGCGGGAUAGCAAGUCAGAUGUGAAAUCCUAGGGCUUAACCAUAGAACUGCAUUUGAAACUGGUAUUCUAGAGUAUGGGAGAGGUAGGUAGAAUUCUUGGUGUAGGGGUAAAAUCCGUAGAGAUCAAGAGGAAUACUCAUUGCGAAGGCGACCUGCUAGAACAUAACUGACGCUGAUGUGCGAAAGCGUGGGGAGCAAACAGGAUUAGAUACCCUUGUAGUC
rnacentral:rRNA from 1 species